AUGGGAUUUGGGUGUUGGGAUCGCGGUGUUCCUUUGGGGUUGAGGCUGUUGGGAUCCGGGUGUUCUUUUUGGGAUCUGAGUGUUCCUUUCAGGUUGGGGUUGUUGGGGUUUGGGUGUUGGGAUCCGAGUGUUCCCUUGGGAUCUGGGUGUUCCUUUUGGGCUGAGGUUGUUGGGAUCUGGGUGUUCCUUUGGGAUCCGGGUGUUCUUUUUGGGAUCUGGGUGUGGUUUAUGGGAUUUGGGUGUUGGGAUUUGGGUGUUGGGGUUUGGGUGUUGUUUGUUGGGAUUUGGGCGCACACCGUGUUCACCAAGAAGGACGACAAGAAGGACAAGCGGAAGAGCCUGGAGCCCUGGAAGCUCUACGCCACCGUGGGCGGCCUGGUGGCCUUCGACGUGGUCACGCUGAGCGUGUGGCAGAUCGUGGANUGGGUGUGGUUUGUUGGGAUUUGGGUGUUCCCUUGGGAUCCGAGUGUUGUUUGUUAAGAUUUGGGUGUUUGGGGUCCGAGUGUUGUUUUUGGGAUCCGGGUUGGGUUGAGGUUGUUGGGAUUUGGGUGUUUCUUUGGGGUUCCGGUUGUUGGGAUCCGGGUGUGGUUUGUUGGGAUCCGGGUGUUCCUCUGGGAUUUUGGUGUUGGGAUUUGGGUGUUCCUUCAGGAUCUGGGUGUUCCUUUGGGGUCCAGGUGUUGUUUUGGGAUCCGGGUGUGGUUUGUUGGGAUUUGGGUGCUCCCUUGGGGUCCGAGUGUUGUUUUUGGGAUCCGGGUGUUCUGUUUGGGUUGAGGUUGUUGGGAUUUGGGUGUUGUUAAUCCGGGUGUUCCAUUGGGGUUGAGGUUGUUGGGAUCCGGGUGUUCCUUUGGGGUCCAGGUGUUCUUUUUGGGAUCUGGGUGUUGUUUUUUGGGAUUUGGGUGUUGGGAUUUGGGUGUUCCAUUGGGGUUGAGGUUGUUGGGAUCCGGGUGUUCCUUUGGGGUCCAGGUGUUGUUUUGGGAUCCGAUUGCAGAUUUUUGGGAUUUGGGUGUUGUUUGUUGGGGUUUGGGUGUUGGGAUCCGGUUGUUCCAUUGGGGUUGAGGUUGUUGGAUCUGAGUGUUCCUUUGGGAUCUGGGUGUGGUUUUUUGGGGUUUUGUUGUUGGGAUCCGGGUGUUCUUUUUGGGUUGAGGUUGUUGGGAUUUGGGUGUUGGGCUCUGGGUGUUCCUUUGGGAUCCGGGUGUUGUUUUUUGGGAUUUGGGUGUUGGGAUCCGGGUGUUCCUCUGGGAUUUGUGUGUUGGGAUUGGGGUGUUGCUUUGGGGUUGAGGUUGUUGGGAUCCGGGUGUUCUUUUUGGGAUCUGAGUGUUCCUUUCAGGUUGGGGUUGUUGGGAUUUGGGUGUUUGGGAUCCGGGUGUUCCUUUGGAAUCCGGGUGUUCCUGUGGCAUCCAGGUGUUCCUUUUGGGCUGAGGUUGUUGGGAUCUGAGUGUUUGGGAUCUGGGUGUGAUUUUUUGGGAUUUGGGUGUUGGGA
rnacentral:lncRNA from 1 species